GGUUAAGCGACUAAGCGUACACGGUGGAUGCCCUGGCAGUCAGAGGCGAUGAAGGACGUGCUAAUCUGCGAAAAGCGUCGGUAAGGUGAUAUGAACCGUUAUAACCGGCGAUGUCCGAAUGGGGAAACCCAGUGCAAUUCGUUGCACUAUCGUUAACUGAAUACAUAGGUUAACGAGGCGAACCGGGGGAACUGAAACAUCUAAGUACCCCGAGGAAAAGAAAUCAACCGAGAUUCCCCCAGUAGCGGCGAGCGAACGGGGAGCAGCCCAGAGUCUGAAUCAGCUUGUGUGUUAGUGGAACGGUCUGGAAAGUCCGACGGUACAGGGUGAUAGUCCCGUACACCAAAAUGCACAGGUUGUGAACUCGAAGAGUAGGGCGGGACACGUGGUAUCCUGUCUGAAUAUGGGGGGACCAUCCUCCAAGGCUAAAUACUCCUGACUGACCGAUAGUGAACCAGUACCGUGAGGGAAAGGCGAAAAGAACCCCGGCGAGGGGAGUGAAAAAGAACCUGAAACCGUGUACGUACAAGCAGUGGGAGCACCUUCGGGUGUGACUGCGUACCUUUUGUAUAAUGGGUCAGCGACUUAUAUUCUGUAGCAAGGUUAACCGUAUAGGGGAGCCGCAGGGAAACCGAGUCUUAACUGGGCGUUAAGUUGCAGGGUAUAGACCCGAAACCCGGUGAUCUAGCCAUGGGCAGGUUGAAGGUUGGGUAACACUAACUGGAGGACCGAACCGACUAAUGUUGAAAAAUUAGCGGAUGACUUGUGGCUGGGGGUGAAAGGCCAAUCAAACCGGGAGAUAGCUGGUUCUCCCCGAAAGCUAUUUAGGUAGCGCCUCGUGAACUCAUCUUCGGGGGUAGAGCACUGUUUCGGCUAGGGGGUCAUCCCGACUUACCAACCCGAUGCAAACUACGAAUACCGAAGAAUGUUAUCACGGGAGACACACGGCGGGUGCUAACGUCCGUCGUGAAGAGGGAAACAACCCAGACCGCCAGCUAAGGUCCCAAAGUCAUGGUUAAGUGGGAAACGAUGUGGGAAGGCACAGACAGCCAGGAUGUUGGCUUAGAAGCAGCCAUCAUUUAAAGAAAGCGUAAUAGCUCACUGGUCGAGUCGGCCUGCGCGGAAGAUGUAACGGGGCUAAACCAUGCACCGAAGCUGCGGCAGCGACACUAUGUGUUGUUGGGUAGGGGAGCGUUCUGUAAGCCUGCGAAGGUGACCUGUGAGGGUUGCUGGAGGUAUCAGAAGUGCGAAUGCUGACAUAAGUAACGAUAAAGCGGGUGAAAAGCCCGCUCGCCGGAAGACCAAGGGUUCCUGUCCAACGUUAAUCGGGGCAGGGUGAGUCGACCCCUAAGGCGAGGCCGAAAGGCGUAGUCGAUGGGAAACAGGUUAAUAUUCCUGUACUUGGUGUUACUGCGAAGGGGGGACGGAGAAGGCUAUGUUAGCCGGGCGACGGUUGUCCCGGUUUAAGCAUGUAGGCUGGUUGUCCAGGCAAAUCCGGAUAAUCAAGGCUGAGGUGUGAUGACGAGGCACUACGGUGCUGAAGUAACAAAUGCCCUGCUUCCAGGAAAAGCCUCUAAGCAUCAGGUAACAUCAAAUCGUACCCCAAACCGACACAGGUGGUCAGGUAGAGAAUACCAAGGCGCUUGAGAGAACUCGGGUGAAGGAACUAGGCAAAAUGGUGCCGUAACUUCGGGAGAAGGCACGCUGGUGUGUAGGUGAAGUCCCUGCGGAUGGAGCUGAGACCAGUCGAAGAUACCAGCUGGCUGCAACUGUUUAUUAAAAACACAGCACUGUGCAAACACGAAAGUGGACGUAUACGGUGUGACGCCUGCCCGGUGCCGGAAGGUUAAUUGAUGGGGUUAUCCGUAAGGAGAAGCUCUUGAUCGAAGCCCCGGUAAACGGCGGCCGUAACUAUAACGGUCCUAAGGUAGCGAAAUUCCUUGUCGGGUAAGUUCCGACCUGCACGAAUGGCGUAAUGAUGGCCAGGCUGUCUCCACCCGAGACUCAGUGAAAUUGAACUCGCUGUGAAGAUGCAGUGUACCCGCGGCAAGACGGAAAGACCCCGUGAACCUUUACUAUAGCUUGACACUGAACAUUGAGCCUUGAUGUGUAGGAUAGGUGGGAGGCUUUGAAGCGUGGACGCCAGUCUGCGUGGAGCCAACCUUGAAAUACCACCCUUUAAUGUUUGAUGUUCUAACGUUGGCCCCUUACCGGGGUUGCGGACAGUGUCUGGUGGGUAGUUUGACUGGGGCGGUCUCCUCCCAAAGCGUAACGGAGGAGCACGAAGGUUAGCUAAUCCUGGUCGGACAUCAGGAGGUUAGUGCAAUGGCAUAAGCUAGCUUGACUGCGAGCGUGACGGCGCGAGCAGGUGCGAAAGCAGGUCAUAGUGAUCCGGUGGUUCUGAAUGGAAGGGCCAUCGCUCAACGGAUAAAAGGUACUCCGGGGAUAACAGGCUGAUACCGCCCAAGAGUUCAUAUCGACGGCGGUGUUUGGCACCUCGAUGUCGGCUCAUCACAUCCUGGGGCUGAAGUAGGUCCCAAGGGUAUGGCUGUUCGCCAUUUAAAGUGGUACGCGAGCUGGGUUUAGAACGUCGUGAGACAGUUCGGUCCCUAUCUGCCGUGGGCGCUGGAGAAUUGAGGGGGGCUGCUCCUAGUACGAGAGGACCGGAGUGGACGCAUCACUGGUGUUCGGGUUGUCAUGCCAAUGGCACUGCCCGGUAGCUAAAUGCGGAAGAGAUAAGUGCUGAAAGCAUCUAAGCACGAAACUUGCCCCGAGAUGAGUUCUCCCUGAGACUUUAAGUCUCCUGAAGGAACGUU
rnacentral:rRNA from 2 species